rnacentral:rRNA from 1 species
UACAGGCUUAACACAUGCAAGUCGAGGGGCAGCAUGGUCUUAGCUUGCUAAGGCCGAUGGCGACCGGCGCACGGGUGAGUAACACGUAUCCAACCUGCCGUCUACUCUUGGACAGCCUUCUGAAAGGAAGAUUAAUACAAGAUGGCAUCAUGAGUCCGCAUGUUCACAUGAUUAAAGGUAUUCCGGUAGACGAUGGGGAUGCGUUCCAUUAGAUAGUAGGCGGGGUAACGGCUCACCUAGUCUUCGAUGGAUAGGGGUUCUGAGAGGAAGGUCCCCCACAUUGGAACUGAGACACGGUCCAAACUCCUACGGGAGGCAGCAGUGAGGAAUAUUGGUCAAUGGGCGAGAGCCUGAACCAGCCAAGUAGCGUGAAGGAUGACUGCCCUAUGGGUUGUAAACUUCUUUUAUACGGGAAUAAAGUGAGGCACGUGUGCCUUUUUGUAUGUACCGUAUGAAUAAGGAUCGGCUAACUCCGUGCCAGCAGCCGCGGUAAUACGGAGGAUCCGAGCGUUAUCCGGAUUUAUUGGGUUUAAAGGGAGCGUAGGCGGACGCUUAAGUCAGUUGUGAAAGUUUGCGGCUCAACCGUAAAAUUGCAGUUGAUACUGGGUGUCUUGAGUACAGUAGAGGCAGGCGGAAUUCGUGGUGUAGCGGUGAAAUGCUUAGAUAUCACGAAGAACUCCGAUUGCGAAGGCAGCUUGCUGGACUGUAACUGACGCUGAUGCUCGAAAGUGUGGGUAUCAAACAGGAUUAGAUACCCUGGUAGUCCACACAGUAAACGAUGAAUACUCGCUGUUGCGAUAUACAGUAAGCGGCCAAGCGAAAGCGUUAAGUAUUCCACCUGGGGAGUACGCCGGCAACGGUGAAACUCAAAGGAAUUGACGGGGGCCCGCACAAGCGGAGGAACAUGUGGUUUAAUUCGAUGAUACGCGAGGAACCUUACCCGGGCUUGAAUUGCAACUGAAUGAUGUGGAGACAUGUCAGCCGCAAGGCAGUUGUGAAGGUGCUGCAUGGUUGUCGUCAGCUCGUGCCGUGAGGUGUCGGCUUAAGUGCCAUAACGAGCGCAACCCUUAUCGAUAGUUACCAUCAGGUUAUGCUGGGGACUCUGUCGAGACCGCCGUCGUAAGAUGUGAGGAAGGUGGGGAUGACGUCAAAUCAGCACGGCCCUUACGUCCGGGGCUACACACGUGUUACAAUGGGGGGUACAGAAGGCAGCUACACGGUGACGUGAUGCUAAUCCCGAAAGCCUCUCUCAGUUCGGAUUGGAGUCUGCAACCCGACUCCAUGAAGCUGGAUUCGCUAGUAAUCGCGCAUCAGCCACGGCGCGGUGAAUACGUUCCCGGGCCUUGUACACACCGCCCGUCAAGCCAUGAAAGCCGGGGGUACCUGAAGUGCGUAACCGCAAGGAGCGCCCUAGGGUAAAACUGGUGAUUGGGGCUAAGU